GCCCCGAAGCGGGGGUACCGCGGCCCAGUGGCCAAGGUUGAGACAGUCCCUUCGAACCUGAUCCGGUUGAUACCGGCGUAGGGAAGCUUCGCAAUUGCUGAU
rnacentral:ncRNA from 2 species